CAUUUCUAGCGGGGAGGGACUGCUUGGGCAGCUCGGAGCUUCCCUCAGCGGUCUAUGGGUGCAACCCUUCUUUGGAUGACAUAUGCAUACCUACCUGCGUCCAACAAGGGGUGGCGAAGAUACCUGAUUGCUCCGCAGACGACGCCAACCUCUUGCGGCGCCUGGCAGCUAUUAUGAGAGCGUCAAUGCAAGAUUCAUCAUGCUAGACUCAGUUCACGCAUCUCUCUGUGUAAGGAAAUGGCCAUGGAAUUCUCCAUGUGUUCCAACGUUCACAAAGUGACCGACCAUGAAAUCUUUAGAUGCUACCUGCACUUACAAGAAAACGAUCAUCCCCAUUGGAACUCUGUGGAAUAAAGCCAUUAGAAUGUUCA